GCUGUUGGUAUUCUUGUGAGAGUAAAAAGGGAAACUUAAAUCAGUGCUAUUUUUCUUGAUGGCUCCAUGGAUCCAAAAGCCCACUGAAGUCAAUAAGAUUUUGUCUUUAGCAGAAAUGUUGCAUUGUUACCCUUAUAUUAUCUCUGUGGGAAGGACUGCUGUGAGGAUUAACUGCAAUGAGGAUUAACGACAACGAGACUGGAAAUAUUUCAUAUAUAGUAGCUCAAAAAAAUCAUUUCUAGAAUAACAUUGUCAUUUUGUCCUUGCAUAGAAUAUUUGCAGAUAAAUCUUUUUUUUUUUUUUUAAUGUACAACAGCCCAAACCAUAACUAUUGUCAUAGCAACAUUUUCCAGAAAGCUCUUAGUUUAGGGUAAUUAGAUAUUUAUUAAAUAUGACAGUCAUCUCUUAACAUACACAGGCAAGAGAGAAUAUCUGAAUUUAGAGGAUUAGACUCAAGAAGAGGAAACUACACCUCAAAAAAGAAUAGAAGGUAGAAGAAAAGACAUUUAACCUGGGUUUAAACCAACAUUCUCAAUGUAAUCAACCAUGUCAAAAGAGAAGUAAAUUCUCAUUUUUUAAAUCUAGAAACAUGUCAACGUUACUGCUCAUAUGUUAAAUCAUAUAUUUGAUCUUUUUCUGCUUUUGAAAAAAGUGUUUUGCUUUACCACUAUACAAUUUUUCUUCCCCUUUUCCAUUUUCUUUUAUUUAUUCACCAAGUACCAAAUAAGGCACUGCAGAGUCAGAACUGAAUUCUGAAGGUUUUUAGAAGGGGCCUCAGUCCAAUAAGAAGGCCAAUAUAUAUAAACCUACUUCCUGAGUGAGGACAUACACAUUGUGACCUACUUUUUGCCAUAGUUUUUACUUCUGGUUAUUUUACUUUGUUUCUAAUGCCCUAUUUAAAAAAAAAAAAAACAAAUCUAAUUCAAUUUUGUUUAUAUUAGAAAAUAAA